GUAUGUGUGGGUUUUAUAUAUUUUGUGUUUUACGGAAAUGGGUUAUAAUCUAUUUUCGCAGCGGACCGUGUUUGGAUUUUUUGAAUGAUUGAUGGAUUUUUUAAUUUCAAACUAGUCAUGAAAGGAUGCACCUUCAUUGUUUCUUCAUUUUUUAAGUUUUUAGCUCUGAUAUUUUUGCUUGAGUCAGAUUUUUGCUAAUAUUUCUCUCUCCCAUGUAUUUAUUUGCUCUAGAACUAUACACUCUGUGAUUUAUGGGCAAAACAAUAAUAUAGAUGUGCCCAAAAAUUUUGGGCAAUGGAUUCCACUCUAAAAUGUUAGAUCUAUGAUGUUAUAUUCAGGCACAGAUGGAUUGGUCGAUAUGAGGCACAUCUAUGGGACAAAACAUGCUGGAACGAGUCCAAGGACAAGAAAGGUCGGCAAGGAGGAGCAAUUAUUUUUCAAGGAGUCUCAAAAUAUUGUGGUGUUUCCAGCAAACACCAUCAAAAUGAGCAUUGGGAGGCUAGAAUUGGAAGAGAAUUUGGUAACAAAUAGCUUUACCUAGGGACUUACAAAAUGUAUUGAUAAACUCAAAGAAGGGGAUAAAGUGAUAAAGGGAUAUCUUGUGUAGAAGCUUCCUUCACUGUGACUAGGAUUCUUUAUUGCUGCUCUUGAUUGUGGCUGCUGAAGCUUAAGAUCAUGGCUGUCUCAAGUGAUGUCUCUUAUUUGCAAUUUUUGAGACUCGUAACUGACAUUGCAGUAUUUCUUAUAAUUGUAUAACUAUUACGGUGAAUUCAUAACUUUGGUCUGCUAGAUGUUUUUGUUUUCAGCAAUAAGGGUAAUCAUUACAUAUGUAUUAAUAUAACGUGUUAUUUUUUCUUUUUGUAGAAACAUACUGAUAAAUUCAAUGAAGGUGAUAAAGUUAGGCUGUUGGAUCCAUUUGAUAGUGUUGAUGUUGGCAUUGGGAGGAUUCACUCCCUAUCUAUUCUACAUGGAGUAAACUUAAAAGGAAUAGGCAAGUAACAUACCUCUUCCUUAUGAAGACAAAAUAGAUGGAGUCGUCCGUCUGAAAGAGAAAGAGGGAACCUUCGCAAGGUGGCCAUUAAAAUAUUUGUAGAAAAUGAUAUAGUUGAAUAUGUUUAUCAUGUUUCUUAUUGUUUUAUGCAGUAUUUUGAAUAUUUUGAAAGAGUUGGAAACUCUUAAGACAACUUUGACAUUUUUUAUUAUAUUUACAUAUAUACCCUUAGACAAAUUUGACA